UAUUUACUCAGUAUUUUCAACUGUUUUGUUCUGUUAUCUCGCAAUAGAGGAACAAAUCAAGUCAAAUAUGGUAUUUUAAGCAAAAGCACAUGUUCAAGAAUGUUGGGGACCUCUUUUACAUUCAAAUGAACUCAAUCGUAAAGAAACGUGUCUAUAUUAUUUUUGUCGACGUUUCUGAGUGCGACUGAGAUGAAUCAUGAAUACAGUCGUGACAACACCUUUCAAAUGGGAAUUUCUGAUAGAGAUCGGUGAAUUAUACCAUAAGUUAACACAUGAGAAAUUGGUCAUGAACUUUAUUGUUUUGGAAAUGGUGAAUUUUAAUAUGGACAAGAUCAUAAUAUACUCAUAUCACCUCAUAUUUGUUUCUAUCAACGCAAACAAAUUAUGUCGCUUGUGAGAUUUGUUAAAGGAACAAAUGAUUCAGGAUGGUAGAAAAAAUAGCAG